CCCGGAGGAAACCCCCAAGGCACGGGGAGAACAUGCAAACUCCACACACACAAGGCGGAGGUGGGAAUCGAACCCCCAACCCUGGAGGUGUGAGGCGAACGUGCUAACCACUAGAUUUACCUAAUUAUAGUCUAUAAGUUUAAAGUUUAAAAUUAAGUUACUAUUCAUCUCUAACAUCUAUCCCUAAUGAGCAAGCCGGAGGCGAUGAUGACAAAAAAAAAUCCCUUAGAUGAUUUGAGCAAGAAACCUUGAGAGGAACCAGACUCGGAAGGGACCCCAUCCUCAUCCGGGUGGGUAAAACUUUACAAUGAAAUAAUGUCAAAGUAAAUGAUGUCCUUUUCCUUUACAACAGUUUGUAGUUGAGUGGAAUUAAGCAACCAAGAGCUCCAGAUGAACAAAUGGGUCAGCGCAAUAUCCGAGUUCACCAUAGACCCAACACUAAUUCCAUCCUGACAAAGUCUUCAAGUUAAUCGCUCAUGAACGCCCAAUCAUAAAGCUGACUGAUGUAACAGUGGACCAAAGACCACUAAGGUACUCACUGUGUGUAAUGGUACACUGAUGCUGCCAGAGCGUUGCCAGAUCCUCCGGGGAGAAUGCCAAGUGGUGUGCUGAUCGCUUCAUCCCAGUCCUCUCUCUCCAUCAAGCCAUUGAUCACCUGCAGGACACCCCCACCCCAGACAGACCUGUGGUGAUGAGUGUGUGAGAGAUGUUUGCCUCAGUGAGCAUGCUCAGUACAGGGCCCGUGUAGAGAGUCAUCGCCUGGCCUCGUCCGCUCUGAGGGUUCACCAACACCAUCACACGCCGGCUGAC